rnacentral:tRNA from 1 species
ACCUUUGUGGUGUAAUGGUAAAGCGCACUCGGUGAGUAUUCGAGAAGUCCGUGGUUCGAGUCCCGGCGAGGGCA